ensembl:lncRNA
GAGGUGGCGGUGCUGCUGGGCUCGUUUGUUCUUUCGUCUGUCCGUUCUUCCUUAGUAACAAGCCGCGGGUUCUGGGUUAGAGGUUCCUUGGGGGCGGCCGCCUUCCACAGAGCGAGCCUGAGGCACCCGCUGCCUUUCUGCUCUACUGGCUCGGUCCUUUACGGUGUUGCCUUGUAUGUGUGGCUUUGUCUCCUGUUGACUCCCGCGGUGACCUGCUGGUCGCAGGCAGGCUGCACGUACAAAAACGCACCUCACACGUGUGCCACGCUUUGUUUCUAAGCAGUCCUGGUGUCCGGAAAGCUCCAUUUGCUUCAGUGCAAGCAACCUGCUCUAGCGGGAAGUACUCCUGCCCAUAGCAGGGGUUGCAACUGGUGGUCUUCAAGUCCCCCCCAGCCCAAACGAGAGAGGAGGCUCAGGGGAGGUCUUAACACUCUCUAUGAAGACCUGAGAGGAGGUCCUUUCAAGCUGGGGGUUGCCCUCUUCUCCCAGCAGAAAAGGACAGCUGUUUACUGUGACCUCUGUCCAGCAAAGGCCCACAUACUUAGCAAGAGUUAACUCCUCCUUGUUAUGAGGAGUAAAAUGUGAGAAAAGUCAAGAAGUGUAAAUCUUCAAAGGAUAAUGUGCAGUUAGAUGCCAUUUGGCAUGAUGAAGAAUAUCACACUGCAGCCCGGAGAGGCAGUGACAUUAUUCAGGAAGCCUUGAGAAUCAAUAUUUCCUGUCUCCUACUCCUGUGCUUCCCAAGAUGUCAUUCUGUGAAAGCUGAGAAACUCCUUUUCAUAUCAAGAACAUAGAAACCCAACACACAAAGCUGCUUAGAAAAGUUGCUUCCAUCUCCAAAUUUGAAAUGGAUAUAGCAUAGAAAGACAAAUAAACGUCAAGCAACAAUUACAGAUUGACUGCCUUUUGUUGCAGGCUUCUCAAGGGCUGGUCAGCAGAGGGCCGUGUGACCCAUAGGAGCAUAUGUUCUACGCACAGAUGUGCCUGUGUACUCCAGAUCUGGGAUUUCAUCAGGGAUAAAUAUUUCCUUUUUCUCCCACAAGAAAUUAUUUUUCCUUCUGGAUGGAGUGGUGCAGAGAUGUGUACAGACAGAAUCUCGCAGACAUGCCCUUGCUACAAAGAAGACUGAUGUUAUCCUAGGCUUUGUUAGUCAGAAUCUCACCAACGGGUCAACGGAGGUGAUCUUUCCACUCAGGACAAGUGAUGCUACACAUGGAGCCCCGUGUCCACUUCUGGGCUCUACAGUACAAGAAAGACGUGGACUUGCUAGAGACAGUCCAAUGAAUGGCCAGAAAAAAACUAAGGGACUGUAACACCUGUUCUAUGAGGAAAGGCUGAGAGAGCUGGGACUGUUCAGCCUGUAUAAGAAAAGGCUCAGGGUGGAUACGUGAUGAGAUGGUGCAAAGAAGACAAAGCCAUUGGUACCCAGGGAUAGGACAAGAGUUAAUGUGCACAAACUGGAAUGCAGGAUUCUCCCUUUGAUCAUCCCGUAAUGCUUUCUUACUGUGCGAGUGACUGAAGAAUAGAGCAGGCUGUCCAGAGAGGCAGCGUGGUCUCCUUGGAGAUCUCCAAAAGCCACCUGGGCAUAUGCCUGGGCACUCUGCUCUAGGUGGCACUGCUUGAGCACAGACUGGACCAGAUGGACCCAGAGGUCUCUGACAACUUCAGCCAUUCUGUAAUUCUGUAUUUACAAAGUAAACAAAAGCACAGGUCUGAAUAUUUUCCUUUGCUGUGUGUCCUUGUGUUACUCUUGUUCUGUUCCCUGAUACAGCUGAAUAGAUACAAAACCAUGUGAAUGCAAGUAUGAAUUGACUUCAGUAAUCUCAAGAGAAAUAUUCAUGUGAAUAAAACUACUAAUGAACAGCCUUCUAUGUAACCUUAUUCUCUUUUGUAAUUUCCACCUUUAGAAUUAUAGCCUAUGAUCAAGGUAGUUUCAGUAUCAAAUUUAUGUUUUGAAGUAAGGAGGAUUAGUAAUUUCCAGAUAAGUUUUACAGAAGCUAAUAAGAUUUGACCAAAUAAACUUUCAUUGCUGCCUUCCAAAGUUAAAUCAUAGUCUUACAUAAACAAUAAAUUCCCCCAGUGAAUACCUGUUAAAUGGAUUUGCAAAUUGUGUUGCAGCCCAAUAAACAAACAAACAAAAUUAAUAAACAAACCCUUGAAUGUUCUUGUUAUACAAAUUGUGAAUUCAUUCCUGGCAAACGCAAUACCUCCACAAAUCUCCAAGCCAUGUAAAAGCAGUGUGAACUUUUGAGUAUGAAACUUAUUCAUAGAAAAAAAAUGUGGUAAUUCUUAUGUGCGUAUUUUUACCUUGUGCCUGUCAUUGGAACUGAAGAUUUAUUGCUACAAUACAUAUUAAAAGCAACCAACAGUAGACAAAAG